rnacentral:rRNA from 1 species
UACAGAGGUCCCGAGCGUUGUUCGGAUUCAUUGGGCGUAAAGGGUGCGUAGGCGGCGGGGCAAGUCUGAUGUGAAAUCCCGGGGCUCAACCCCGGAACUGCAUUGGAUACUGCCUUGCUAGAGUACUGGAGAGGGAACUGGAAUUUACGGUGUAGCAGUGAAAUGCGUAGAGAUCGUAAGGAAGGCCAGUGGCGAAGGCGAGUUCCUGGACAGUUAACUGACGCUGGAGGCACGAAGGCCAGGGGAGCAAACGGG